rnacentral:rRNA from 1 species
AGGUAAGCUACUAAGAGCGAAUGGUGGAUGCCUUGACUGGUAAAGGCGAUGAAGGACGUACUAGACUGCGAUAAGCUACGGGGAGCUGUCAAGAAGCUUUGAUCCGUAGAUUUCCGAAUGGGGCAACCCAAUGUAUAGAGAUAUGCAUUACCUAUAUAGGAGCGAACGAGGGGAAUUGAAACAUCUUAGUACCCUCAGGAAAAGAAAUCAAUAGAGAUUGCGUCAGUAGCGGCGAGCGAAAGCGCAAGAGGGCAAACCCAGUGCUUGCACUGGGGGUUGUAGGACUGCAAUGUGCAAGAGGUAAGUUUAGCAGAACAUUCUGGAAAGUAUAACCAUAGAGGGUGAUAGUCCCGUAUGCGAAAAACAAACCUUAGCUAGCAGUAUCCUGAGUAGGGCGGGACACGAGGAAUCCUGUCUGAAUCCGGGUCGACCACGAUCCAACCCUAAAUACUAAUACCAGAUCGAUAGUGCACAAGUACCGUGAGGGAAAGGUGAAAAGAACUGAGGUGAUCAGAGUGAAAUAGAACCUGAAACCAUUUGCUUACAAUCAUUCAGAGCCCUAUGUAGCAAUACAGGGUGAUGGACUGCCUUUUGCAUAAUGAGCCUGCGAGUUGUGGUGUCUGGCAAGGUUAAGCAAACGCGAAGCCGUAGCGAAAGCGAGUCUGAAUAGGGCGCUUAGUCAGAUGCUGCAGACCCGAAACGAAGUGAUCUAUCCAUGAGCAAGUUGAAGCUAGUGUAAGAACUAGUGGAGGACUGAACCCAUAGGCGUUGAAAAGCCCCGGGAUGACUUGUGGAUAGGGGUGAAAGGCCAAUCAAACUUCGUGAUAGCUGGUUCUCUCCGAAAUAUAUUUAGGUAUAGCGUUGUGUCGUAAUAUAAGGGGGUAGAGCACUGAAUGGGCUAGGGCAUACACCAAUGUACCAAACCCUAUCAAACUCCGAAUACCUUAUAUGUAAUCACAGCAGUCAGGCGGCGAGUGAUAAAAUCCGUCGUCAAGAGGGAAACAACCCAGACUACCAGCUAAGGUCCCUAAAUCUUACUUAAGUGGAAAACGAUGUGAAGUUACUUAAACAACCAGGAGGUUGGCUUAGAAGCAGCCAUCCUUUAAAGAAAGCGUAAUAGCUCACUGGUCUAGUGAUUUUGCGCGGAAAAUAUAACGGGGCUAAAGUAAGUACCGAAGCUGUAGACUUGC